UCCGGUUUAACACCGGCAGUCUCCUUAGAGUCCCCGGCAUGACCCGCUGGCAACUAAGGACAAGGGUUUCGCUCGUUAAGCGACUUAACGCGACAUCUCACGACACGAGCUGACGACAGCCAUGCAGCACCUGUGCACGUUCCACUCUUGCGAGUGUGGCUCGCCUUUCGACGAGUUAAUCCGUGCAUGUCAAGACUAGGAUAAGGUUCUUCGCGUAGCCUCGAAUUAAGCCACAUCCUCCACCGCUUGUGUGAGCCCCCGUCAAUUCCUUUGAGUUUCAGCCUUGCGGCCAUACUCCCCAGGCGGAGCACUUACCACUUUCGCUACGGCCGGAAACCUAUGGAGGGGUCUCCAACCAAGUGCUCAUCGUUUACGGCUAGGACUAC
rnacentral:misc_RNA from 1 species